AGUGAACGCUGGCGGUAGGCCUAACACAUGCAAGUCGAACGGCAGCACAGUAAGAGCUUGCUCUUACGGGUGGCGAGUGGCGGACGGGUGAGGAAUACAUCGGAAUCUACUUUUUCGUGGGGGAUAUCGUAGGGAAACUUACGCUAAUACCGCAUACGACCUACGGGUGAAAGCAGGGGAUCUUCGGACCUUGCGCGAUUGAAUGAGCCGAUGUCGGAUUAGCUAGUUGGCGGGGUAAAGGCACACCAAGGCGACGAUCCGUAGCUGGUCUGAGAGGAUGAUCAGCCACACUGGAACUGAGACACGGUCCAGACUCCUACGGGAGGCAGCAGUGGGGAAUAUUGGACAAUGGGCGCAAGCCUGAUCCAGCCAUACCGCGUGGGUGAAGAAGGCCUUCGGGUUGUAAAGCCCUUUUGUUGGGAAAGAAAAGCAGCAGGUUAAUCCCCCGCUGUUUUGACGGUACCCAAAGAAUAAGCACCGGCUAACUUCGUG
rnacentral:rRNA from 1 species